rnacentral:rRNA from 1 species
GAGUCCGAGGAUGGCAUCAUCCUUGGAUCAAAGAUGGCCUCUUAACAAACCUAUCGCCUGUCGAUGGGCCUGCGUCUGAUUAACCAGUUGGCGGGGUAACGGCCCACCAAAGCGACGAUCAGUAGCCGGUCUGAGAGGAUGAACGGCCACAUUGGGACUGAGACACGGCCCAGACUCUACGGGAGGCAGCAGUGGGGAAUCUUCCACAAUGGGCGAAAGCCUGAUGGAGCAACGCCGCGUGAGUGAAGAAGGUCUUCGGAUCGUAAAGCUCUGUUGCACGGGACGAAAACUGGGUUUGAAAACAUUGAACCUGGGUGACGUACCGAGCG